rnacentral:rRNA from 1 species
CCCUUAGAUGUUCUGGGCCGCACGCGCGCUACACUGAUUCAUGCAACAAGUUUUGUCCUUGGCUGAUAGGCCUGGGUAAUCUUUGAACGUGAAUCGUGAUGGGGAUAGAUGAUUGCAAUUAUUCAUCUUCAACGAGGAAUUCCUAGUAAACGCAAGUCAUCAGCUUGCAUUGAUUACGUCCCUGCCCUUUGUACACACCGCCCGUCGCACCUACCGAUUGAAUGGUCCGGUGAAAUCUUCGGAUCUGAGAGAUGUGUGAUUAAUUUCGGACGCCUUUUGGAAAAGUUGUUUAAACCUUACCAUUUAGAGGAAGGUGAAGUCGUANCA